AUGCUGUUUCUGGCGCAGGGCUGGGACAAGUGUUGGUCAUCCUGCAGUGCCCCAUCAAAGCGGUUCCGGAAGCCGGGCAAGGCGUGGGGAGGGGGGACCAACCACCCCCGUCCAGGUGACCCGAGGUUGCGGAGCCAGCACGUGAGGGCAGUCCCCGGAGACCCCGUCCCGGACGGCCCGCCAAAGCCGAAGUCCCGGCUGGAGGCGGAGCGCCGGCGGCCGCGAUCGCGGCUGCUGACAGCUUCCAGAGGCUGGAAGGUACCGAGGCGGAGCCAGGGCGCCCUCCUCGAGCGGGGCCGCGACCCAGGCCACUUUCUGGUUUUGGCUGGACCGAAAAGACGGUGCAGCCUGCCGGGUCGCCGCUGCCGGGAAGGACAGCUGUACGGUGUCCUCGGGGCCUGCGGGCCCUGUGUGCUGACCACAUCUCGCCGACCCAUCUCCUCCUGUUUCCGCGAGCCGGCCCCCGAGCCUCUUUCGCGACGCUCCCCGGCCCCGCUGUUGACCUGGCCGGAGGCUGAGCCUAGCGGCCUGCGCCGUCCCGCGGCCCGGGUCCUUCCGGGGGCCGGGCUGAGAGCGCCGGGCUCGCCCUGGGCCCGCCGUGGCGGGCCGCCCCAUCGCCUUCCCGCGCCUUUCCCACGCGUGUCCCUUCCCACUUCCACGCGGGGCAGCCUUGGGGACUCUUCCCAGGGCCCCGGGGACUCCCGGGAAGAGGGCAGGGUGACGAGCGUCCCCGGGGCUCGGGGACAGGGAGGGCUGAGGAGGGGACAGUGGCCUGGGCCGUGACAGGGGCACGUGCAGGAAGGGCCUGGGGUCUCCUGAGCGACAGUGGUGGCCCUGCCCGCCCGCCUGGACCAGCGCUGUCCGCAGGCCGCGGCUGAGCCCAACCCUGGUCCUUGGGUCCCCGGGGUCCUGCUGCUGCCCAGAGGGGCCCUGUGCAAGCGGAGAUCAUUGUGCCCUGUCCGCUUGUCACUUGUCUCCUAGUCCCCUGCGCUGAGCACAGACUUUGCUAGCGCUGUGCUAGGGAACUGGGUCACGAGGCGCGUCCAGAGACACUGGCGACAGACGGUGAACACCUCCACACGUGAACACCUCUACGCGCCAGGGCGUGCUGGAGACACAGGUGGGCCCGGCGAGGUGUCCCUAAGGAGGCUGCAGCAACAGUGACAAGAGCUGGGCCUGGAUGAGGAGCCCGAGCAGAGCAAGGGACAGGUUGAGGGUCGCAGAGCAGCUGGCGGGGCCUGUCCUGUCUCACAGGGCCUCACCUUCCUCCUGGCAGCUCCUGCCUGGGGUGUCCGGGUGGCCUCUCUAGGACAGUGACUGCCUUUCCUGUCCCCAAGCCUGAAGGAUAAGGGUGGUUUGGGUGCGGGGUUUGAAAGCUCUAGGAACCUGAGCUGAGCCGCGGGAAGAGUUGAGGACGGCACUACACUACUGGGCAUCGCUUCCUUCCACCUCGCUGCCCUGGGGUCAGUCUUGCUGCGCAGGCGGCACUUGGGAAAACUGGGGCGCAGAGAGGGGAUGACUCUCACUGGGGGGGUCUGCAGUGCAAGGGUGGACAGGAAAGUGGUCCCUGAAAUGUUAGAGUGUAGGACAGGCCCCCUCCGGCGGUGGGAAGAGCCUCUGAUCACUUUGGAGGCUUGCUGUUGCUCCGGGGACUGUGUCCCUAGCUCUCCUCCCCUGGGACUGUCCCCUCCCAAGUGGCCCCACUCCUUCCUCUCCCAGCUUCCUUCCCUUUUCUCCUGACCUACCAACCCUUUUCUGUCACUGCUGCGACAUCUGUCCCCAAGACCAGAGGAUCACAGAGGGAAAAGCCCAGAACAGCCUGGAGAGGGGAGUAUGGAUGGUCCUGGGCCUACUGUCUAACAGAAUUCCAGGCAGAGAAGGCCAGGUCCUGCUCUUUGUGUGCCUCCCCAUCCCUCAUCUGUUCAGGGGACAAGUCAGUCCCUCUGUCUUAGAGGCUGGACAGUGUCAAGUGUGUCACCAGGUGAAAAGGACCUCACACUGAUCCCGCUCAUAGGAAGUGUGUAUUGUUGUUGUUGAUAUUUUUGAGACAGGGUCUCACUAUGUAGUUCAGGUUGGCCUUGAAUUUACAGCAAUCUUCCUGCUUCAGCCUCCCGAGUGCUGGAAUUACAGGUGUUUACCACCACGCCAAGCUCCUUGUAUUUUUUAAAGAGGGAUAAAGGGAUUUAAGAAGAAAUUUAAUAAAAGAAAUAGAAAUGAAAGUGCUGGUCCUCAAGAGAAAGGUGCAUUACAGUAUUUUCUGGAGCUGGGAACAUUCUCUUGUGAGGGUGGAAAGCAAUAGAAUUUGUGAGUCUAUGGGAAGUUUCUCUUGAGUCUUCAUUUAAAGGAAGAGCAUGGCCCACCCAAAGAAAGAUAACAACCCAUUCAUGGAAAGAUCCAAUUGACAGGUCAAAAGAGGAGGUCUGUGGAAGUGGCCCUCCUCCUCCUGUCUCAGCCUCCCCAGUGCUGGGAUUAUAGAUGUGUGCCACCACUCCCUGCUUAUUGGCUGGUCCUACUUGGUACAGGGCCAGGAGAGCAGCCAACGUCCUCCUUUUCUCUUCACCCCUUGGCAUCU
rnacentral:lncRNA from 1 species